rnacentral:rRNA from 1 species
CGGAGGGUGCGAGCGUUGUCCGGAAUCACUGGGCGUAAAGGGCGCGUAGGUGGCUUAGCAAGCGUGUGGUGAAAGCCCGGGGCUUAACCCCGGGUCUGCCGUGCGAACUACUAUGGCUAGAGUACUGUAGAGGCAGGUUGAAUUCCGGGUGUAGCGGUGGAAUGCGUAGAGAUCCGGAAGAAUACCGGUGGCGAAGGCGGCCUGCUGGGCAGUUACUGACACUGAGGCGCGACAGCGUGGGGAGCAAACAGGAUUAGAUACCCUGGUAGUCCACGCCGUAAACGAUGGGCACUAGGUGCUUGGGGGAGCGACCCUCUGAGUGCCGUCGCUAACGCAGUAAGUGCCCCGCCUGGGGAGUACGGCCGCAAGGCUG